UACGUAGGGUGCAAGCGUUAAUCGGAAUUACUGGGCGUAAAGCGUGCGCAGGCGGCUAUGCAAGACAGAUGUGAAAUCCCCGGGCUCAACCUGGGAACUGCAUUUGUGACUGCAUGGCUAGAGUACGGCAGAGGGGGAUGGAAUUCCGCGUGUAGCAGUGGAAUGCGUAGAUAUGCGGAGGAACACCGAUGGCGAAGGCAAUCCCCUGGGCCUGUACUGACGCUCAUGCACGAAAGCGUGGGGAGCAAACAGG
rnacentral:rRNA from 1 species